rnacentral:lncRNA from 1 species
UCAAGGAGAUCUUCCCUAAGGGUACUUGGCUGUGGCUCCAUGAAUACGGAUUCUGUAACUUCUUUCCUCCUCCAAAUGAAUAAACUCUGGCCCCAUUUCCCGGAUUUGCAUUCCAGUGACUUACUUGAUUGCUGAUUUCCUGCCAGAGAUGGACUUAAUUUCCAGAGCCUUAUAGUUUAUGAACUUGGAUGAAAAUACAGAAGCACAUUUUCCCCAUAGACACAUGAAGAAACCCCUCAGAGACUCUUCAAAAAAUGCAAACACAUAAAAAGCAAAUUUGAUUCAGCAAGUUUACCAUUAACAAAACCUCCUUUGGGGGCAGGGAUGGUGUAGUGAUAGUACAGGCUGUUAGAAAGAAGCUUAGAAACUGCCCUAUUGAACAAAGCAAGCUAAAGGCAGAGAGAGAUCACCAUUUCUGGAGUAAAACAGCUGCUGUGCAGUGAGGACCCUGAG